AUACGUAGGUGACAAGCGUUAUCCGGAUUUACUGGGCGUAAAGAGCUCGUAGGUGGUUUGUCGCGUCGUCUGUGAAAUUCCGGGGCUUAACUCCGGGCGUGCAGGCGAUACGGGCAUAACUUGAGUACUGUAGGGGAGACUGGAAUUCCUGGUGUAGCGGUGAAAUGCGCAGAUAUCAGGAGGAACACCGGUGGCGAAGGCGGGUCUCUGGGCAGUAACUGACGCUGAGGAGCGAAAGCAUGGGUAGCGAACAGGAUUAGAUACCCUGGUAGUCCAUGCCGUAAACGGUGGGCGCUAGGUGUAGGGGUCUUCCACGACUUCUGUGCCGUAGCUAACGCAUUAAGCGCCCCGCCUGGGGAGUACGGCCGCAAGGCUAAAACUCAAAGGAAUUGACGGGG
rnacentral:rRNA from 1 species